CAAAGAAAGUGGGAAGAAUGUCCACAGAUGUUAGGAGAAGACAAUUAUGCAGGGAAAAUAUUUUCUUAAAUUAAAAUUUAAAACAAAAGUUUGCAGGGAGUGGAGUGGGGGUUCAGCAUUAGGGAGGUAGGAGAUGAUAAAAAUACAUACUAAGUAAUUUGUAGCCUGAUAUGCUUUGUGUGUAGAUUGCUUACAACUAACAUGAAAUGAGCAUUUCAUUCCUUAAGCAUGCAGUUGGGGAAAAAUGGGGAGCCAGGCUGGAUGCACAAAUUUGCACCAGAUGCUCUGUAUCCAGGUAGCAGAAAUGACUAACAGCACUGGUAUCCAUCAGUCCUGGAGCAAAAGCAUCUCCAGAGGAGGACAUCUGUAAAUCCCAAAUCUGAUCACCUUCAUCAUCAUUAGGCAACAGAUAGGAUAAGGCUUCAUGAAGAGAAUUUUGGGGGCUUUCGAUUGUUGAGAAAGUAUAUGUAGGAAAAAACUGGAAAUUAUGUCCAGGAUUUUUUGUCUAACUCCUUAUCCUGAUAUUGAUAACAUUUCACAACUAAAAUAAUUUUAACAGACACUUGAUUAGUUUUUAAAAAUGCAUUUUCAUGACCCGAGACUACAGAAAUUGCCAUUUUCUUAGGACGUAGUUUACAUUCGACUCUCUGCUUACUAUGUCCAGGGUAUCCCUAAAUUGGGGGAGAGAGCCAAGUCAGUUGCCAUUUUGCCUUACUUUUACCAAGGACUAGCCUUCAGGUUCAGUUUUGCUCUUGACUUUGGCCCUGAAUUGAGAACUGAGUCAAGAGAACAGAGUGGAAGUAUGGAGACAAAGCCAGCAGCUUUACUCAAAAAAUUUAUAUGAGUCUAGUAUUUUUUUGUUUUUGAAAGACAUGUUACUGAGCCCAACCCAGUUAGGGAUCACUGAAUAUUGGGUUAAAUAAAACAAUAAUGUUAUUCAUGUGUUAGAAAUUAAUAUUUUAAAGAACUAUGCACACUUUAAAAUGUAACUGGAUUUGCUAUAUAGGCCAGAGAAAUAUGGCUGUUACGAUGAAGGCGUAACUUGUCUGGUUCUUGAUUAUUUAUACCAUUAGAGAAGAAUGCAAAUAUGAAUAGCUCAGAGUAGUUUAACUUUGAAGUGAGAGUUUAUAUGCACCUUUAUAUGUGGGAUAACUGAUGUCUUUGGAAUAGACUUCAAAUGAAUGAUAAAAACACCUGUAAAGUGAUAGGACCUCUACUUUUUCUCAUGUCCAAUGUUCAGUUUCUUAUAAACCAAGCAUUAAGAGAAACAAAAAAUUAAUUCUCCAGAUCAUGAAGUUGUCUUCAACCUAAGCACAGAGGUAUAAUAAUUACAUUUCUCAGAAGUUCCCCCUCUGUUUUGAGUCUCAAGGGCAAUUGAGAUGUCAGUGAGGCUGUGAUUAAAUGUAUUGGAUUAGAGGAUUUUAAAUACAAACAAGUAUUAUAGGUGUUACCACUGACCCCGAAGGUAAGAUUUACUAUGAAAAUUUAUAGUGCAAGGAAGAAUGAUCAUUUUCAAAAUAUACACUUUGCAACUUAAGUUGGCUGUCACAACAACAAAAUAUUACAAACCAGGAUGUCUAAGAGCAGAAGUCCGUGGUUGCCAACUCUCAAGCCUCUUAGCUUAAUCCAAUCUAGGAUGCAUUUCCACUCUGCAACAAACAGUAUUUAUUUUUGCCUUAUUUGCAGAUAACAGUUUUAAUGCAGGUACUGCCCACGGAUUAGCUUUGAGCAGUGUCUUUUUGCUUCGUUUUUUUUUUUAUUUGUUUGGUUUGUUUUGAGACUGAGUCUCACUCAGUCCCCCAGGCUGGAGUGCAGUGGUGCGACCUCGUCUCACUGCAACCCCUGCCUCCCGGGUUCAAGCGAGCCUCCUGCCUCAGCCUCCCAAGUAGCUGGGACUACAGGCGUGAGCCACCAUGCCCGGCCAAGCAGUAUCUUUUUGCUUUGAAAGUAACUUACAUGUACAUUUGUUUUCCUUGUGAAUGUUUCUUUUUAACUGCAAACUAAGAAGCACUGAGCCCAGCAUUCAUAUAUUUGCAAACUCUGUCUUACUUAUUUCUCAGUUUUUUUCCUCAGAAAAAAUGCAAUUCCUUCUUUAAAUUUAAUUUUGCUUUAUUUCUUUAUAAAGUGAAGAGUAGGUAGCAAGAAUUCCUCUUGCCCUUUGCUAUUUCAGUCUGGCAUCAGUAGCAAUUGUUGCUAUGCCCAGUUUUCAUUCAUGGAUUUUUCUGGGAUUGAAGAUGUAUUGAGUUCGAUGUUGAUUAUUUAAUUGGGCAGUAUAAGUAAAUUCAUUAGCUCUCCUUCCAGUUUAGUGAAUACUGAAUAUCAUCCAUGAUAUUGCGUAUUUCUUAUACUUCUGGAAUGCUAACCUGAAAAUGGAAGUUGUAAGUCAGGGAUGGUGGUAUGUGCCUCUAGUCUCAGCUAGUUGGGAGGCUGAGGCUUGAGCCCAGGCCUUCAUGGCUGUAGUGCAAAAUGACUGUACUUGUGAAUAGCCACCGCACUCCAGCCUGGGCAAUGUAGCAAGAAUCCCACCCCUUAAGAAAAAAGAGGAGAGAAAAAAAUGGAAGUUGUGGAGAGGGAGGAGGAUACUUGAAUACUUUGACCAUACUUGGCAUAAUAGACAUUUUGAGGGUUUUUUUUUUUCUUAAAAUUCCUCUGGAUCAGUUUUCAUUGUUUCUAGUAAUUAUAUUUAUCAUUAAUGAAUUCAUAUUGUGCUCUAGCCCCUAAAGAUAGUUUGAUACGCUAACUUUUGUUUUGCCUUUCUAGCUGCUAAGAUAGAUAAUGGUUAUUUCAAAAUGCACGUUUUUAAAUGGUCUCCAGUGUGGAUUGCUUCUGAGCUGCUGAUGGAUUGAAUACAUUGAGAAGGAAUGUGUCAUUUGGAAUCCAGGACCAGUCAGCAAGGAUAACUGCCUGAUUUUAUGAUUUCGUGACUGAUGCUGAAAUGGAAGCCAACCACUGCAGAAAUUUGGGGGAAAAUGAGAUCUGAAGAAUACAAGGGGAAGUAGGAAUUCAUUUCUAGCAUUUGCAAACCUGCUUUAUCGUGUCUGCUCUACCACAGUCAGAGGAAAAGACUGAGUUCAUGGAAAUUACCAGCUAAGCCUUACAUCUGUCUUUAAUGUUUUUAGAAAGUAUACUGAAAAGGUAAGUGAGAUGUCUGUUUUGAAGAAAGACUCUUACUAGGUACCUUAAAACCAGUUGUUUCCUAUUAGUAAAGAUGGGCAGCUUCUUUAUUCCUAGCUUCAAAAAGCCUUGCCCCUGUUCGGUGUGUUUCUCAGUAUUGUGGAGAAGGUAGUUUCUGAGCAAGGUGGUGCUUUUCCUCUGCUUCUCAGCAACUAAGAUAGAAAUUGCACUGAAGUGGACAAAGUGCCAAUUUUUGUUGUCCUGUUGUGCUCAAAUCCUUUUUUUAAAAAAGUUAUUUCAAUUGAGUCUUAGUUAUAUUCCUCACUAUAUAGGAAAAAAAUCUUUAAUGCCUCAAAGUUCCAGUCAGCAUUACAUUUGCAUUACUCUUAUUUGCAGCAAAUAUGAGUAAAAUUAUAGGUUUUUAAAGGUAUCUAAUAACAUCCACUUAUAUUGGUUUUGUAGAUAAUCCAUAAAUUACCAGAAAUAAAUUAUUCCACAUUUAUUACACACCCAUGUAAUAGGUGUAGUGCCAGGCCCUGGAAUAUACCAAUGGUAUCACCUCAUGUGGUAAAAAGACAUAUUCCGCCAUCCUGGAGUAUACAGAGGUAGAGUAGCAUAUAGUUCAUGUGCUCAUGGAGUUCAUUUUUAUUGACAUGAUACAGAUAGAAUUGUAGUUUAGGGAAUCAAAAUCUAAUAAAAUGAGGCUAAUUCCAUUUUCCCAUUAACACUAAUAACUAGUGUGUAAAUCUGAAUAUGACACAUUCUAUAUGAAAGAAGCUCUGUGUUUGUGUGUGCAUCUACACUAAAUACUUCGUGUGUGCCAGGUACUGUUUUAAACUCUUUACAUAUUAUUUUUUUAAUUCUCAUAAAUGUUCUCUGAGGUAAGUACUAAUACUAAAGCUUAUUGUCUAAGGAAGGCAGAAAAAUUAAGUAACUUGGCCUAAGUUUGCAUAACUAUGAUCUGGGAUCAAUAUUUGAACCCAUACAGGCUGAUUGCAGAGCCUGCACUCUUAAUUUGAGUGUGAUAUUUAUGUGCAAUACCUGGCUAUAAGUACCCACAAAACAUUUCAAAUUCUUUAUAAAAUUUGCUUAGUUAAAAAAGUACCAAUUGCAUAAUAUGGUUAUAAGUCUAGUAGAAGUUAGGCUUUUUACAACACAUGCUGCUUACUGCACCAAGGAGGCAACAAGGCUUUUUAGAGAGCCCAAAAUUUCCUUUCUUCAACUCCUGCUUCCAAGGCAGUCAUUUUGCAUGAUAACCGUUUCCCCAAAAAACACAGACACAAAAUUUAAAGAACUGGAACAGAGGAAGCAGAGCUUAUCAUAGUAUAUGUAUUUAGUACCCUGUCACUUAGGUCCACCCCUCUUUCUUUGUGGAUUGUGGACAUUUUGUUUAACUGCUAAAUCAUGAGAAUAUAUGACUGCUGAGACUUUUCCAAGGAUUUUUUAAAAAACACAUUAGGCUUCGUGCAGAAGUAAAGAAAAAGUGCUCUGAGAACCCCAGGUAGGUAAUUUACUUCCUAUUGUACGCAUAGUUUGUUUGAAACCUCUUCACCUCUAUCCCUUAUUGUUUUAUACUCUGUAAAUCUGAUUUUACCUUUAAUAAACUUUUCUGAAGUGA